rnacentral:rRNA from 1 species
GUGACUGCGUACCUUUUGUAUAAUGGGUCAGCGACUUAUAUUCUGUAGCAAGGUUAACCGUAUAGGGGAGCCGAAGGGAAACCGAGUCUUAACUGGGCGUUAAGUUGCAGGGUAUAGACCCGAAACCCGGUGAUCUAGCCAUGGGCAGGUUGAAGGUUGGGUAACACUAACUGGAGGACCGAACCGACUAAUGUUGAAAAAUUAGCGGAUGACCUGUGGCUGGGGGUGAAAGGCCAAUCAAACCGGGAGAUAGCUGGUUCUCCCCGAAAGCUAUUUAGGUAGCGCCUCGUGAACUCAUCUUCGGGGGUAGAGCACUGUUUCGGCUAGGGGGCCAUCCCGGCUUACCAACCCGAUGCAAACUACGAAUACCGAAGAAUGUUAUCACGGGAGACACACGGCGGGUGCUAACGUCCGUCGUGAAGAGGGAAACAACCCAGACCGCCAGCUAAGGUCCCAAAGUCAUGGUUAAGUGGGAAACGAUGUGGGAAGGCACAGACAGCCAGGAUGUUGGCUUAGAAGCAGCCAUCAUUUAAAGAAAGCGUAAUAGCUCACUGGUCGAGUCGGCCUGCGCGGAAGAUGUAACGGGGCUAAACCAUGCACCGAAGCUGCGGCAGCGACACUAUGUGUUGUUGGGUAGGGGAGCGUUCUGUAAGCCGUUGAAGGUGUGCUGUGAGGCAUGCUGGAGGUAUCAGAAGUGCGAAUGCUGACAUAAGUAACGAUAAAGCGGGUGAAAAGCCCGCUCGCCGGAAGACCAAGGGUUCCUGUCCAACGUUAAUCGGGGCAGGGUGAGUCGACCCCUAAGGCGAGGCCGAAAGGCGUAGUCGAUGGGAAACAGGUUAAUAUUCCUGUACUUGGUGUUACUGCGAAGGGGGGACGGAGAAGGCUAUGUCAGCCGGGCGACGGUUGUCCCGGUUUAAGCAUGUAGGCGGAGGUUCCAGGUAAAUCCGGUAC